GCAGCAGCCACGGUAAUACAGAGGGUGCGAGCGUUAAUCGGAUUUACUGGGCGUAAAGCGUGCGUAGGCGGCUUCUUAAGUCGGAUGUGAAAUCCCUGAGCUUAACUUAGGAAUUGCAUUCGAUACUGGGAAGCUAGAGUAUGGGAGAGGAUGGUAGAAUUCCAGGUGUAGCGGUGAAAUGCGUAGAGAUCUGGAGGAAUACCGAUGGCGAAGGCAGCCAUCUGGCCUAAUACUGACGCUGAGGUACGAAAGCAUGGGGAGCAAACAGGAUUAGAUACCCGAGUAGUCCCUGUCUCUUAUAC
rnacentral:rRNA from 1 species